GCUCGUCUCUCCUCUUCUCGCACGGCGACGAUGAGAAGUUCGCGCUUCCUCUCCAUAUCUGAAACGUUCCAGAGUUAUGGCUUCAUGUUUUAUCCCUCCUCCAUGAUUACCGAAUGAAUCUUCUCCUAUAAAUAACACCUUCAAUUCAACGCAUCACUACGAUAAGAAAGUGUUUGGUUUCAUCCAAGGAUAUUAGAGUGUGUUUGAUACUGCUUGCAUUAAUCACAGAGGUAAACCAGAACAUUCUCCAAGGACUUUACACUCGAGAAAGAUGAAGAGACAUAUGCUGGGCUGCUGCAUUUUGCUUCUGUCGAAGACCAGAAGAAGAACGUUUGGCAAUGGACGUAUGUUUAUGCAUAAAAAAACUAAAGGAUCU